UACGGAGGGUGCGAGCGUUGUUCGGAAUCACUGGGCGUAAAGCGCGUGUAGGCGGCCUUCUAAGUCCGAUGUGAAAGCCCGGGGCUCACCCCCGGAAGUGCAUUGGAUACUGGGAGGCUGGAGUACCGGAGAGGAGGGUGGAAUUCCUGGUGUAGCGGUGAAAUGCGUAGAUAUCAGGAGGAACACCUGUGGCGAAGGCGGCCCUCUGGACGGAUACUGACGCUGAGACGCGAAAGCGUGGGGAGCAAACAGG
rnacentral:rRNA from 1 species